CGUUAGAUCAUACUAUUCAACCAACCACCCACUCAAUCCUAAGGGACCAUUAUUAUCCUAACCACACAUCCCUUUUGACCAUUUCCACCCUUUAGAUUCAUACUUGAAGGGAUGUGCGAUUAGGAUGAUAGUAGUCUCCUAGGGUUGAGUAAGUGGUUGGUUGAAUAAUAUGAUCUAACGGGUGGAAAUGGCCAAAGAGGUAGAUCUAACGGUGAAAAAAUCGAU
rnacentral:lncRNA from 1 species